GUAGCAUGAGCCAUCAACAUGUCUUUUGGAGAACAGGAUGAUGAGCAGAAUGAUCAACUGCAUGUACCUGCUGAAAUUUUCCAGGAGGAGAAACCAUUGGGCAGAAAGAAAUCCUGACUCUGUUUGUCCAGAAUUGUGAGCCCAUUAUGCAGACUGUUGUGUUUCAGGGCUGCAUGUUUUUCUCAUACUGAAAUUUGUGGGAAUUUAUAGAUUCAUUGUGUUGUCAAAGUUGUGACUUGUAACACAAACCAAAACCAUCAUACCUCCUCCAGCUGGAUCAUCUGAAGGUAUGUGCUCAAGUUAAAGUACUGACAUUUAUACCUCAGGAAGCAAAAGUAGGUUGACUUUUUUUUUUCCUUAAAAAAAGAAAAAAAUUUCUUUGGUGAGGGAACAAGUGGCUACUUCAAAUAAUUUUAUUCCAUAUGAUUAAAAGAGUACACCUCAAUCAGAAAUACAUUGUCCCAUAUUCUGAUUUACAAACUGGUUUCUGGCUUUCUUCCAUACCUUGCUGUAUGUGUGUGUGUGUGUAUAUAAAAAUAUACUGUAUGGUCACAACUUGAGAACAUGCAGCAUGUACCUAAACUAUCCAUCAGGCAUAUACAGCUGGUGUUAGUAUUACAAUAGAAGGACUUUAGACAAAUUUUGCAAAUACUUUUGCAUUAUUAUUUGCUUAUCUUAGGUGGCAAUUUUGUUUUGUUUAGUUUAUUUUUUUUAUUUUGAAGCAUUAUCCCUUUUUUCCUCUCUCAGGAUAUUGCAGUUACUGGAAACACUUCUUUAAGUGGGAGCCUUUUCUUUUUUCCUUUUUUUAAACUAUACCAUGUCCUCUCUGUAAUCAUCUGCUUCAGGGCAUUUUACACAAGUAUAAAGCAGCUGCUGUUUGUCACCAUUGACUGCCUCUGGCCAAUUAAAACUGCAGGAGCAUUUAAAUGAGCUCAGGUGUCUCACUCAGUGCAGGCUCUUUGCUUGGAAAGCAGAAUUUUCAAGCUUUUCUGACUGACUUAAAAUUCAGUAGCUGGAAUGUGAACAGAGCUGACAAGGGCCAUUCCUGGGCAGUGGAAAGGGAUUCCUGAUGCAGAGCUGCUGGGAGUGGUUGCCCCUGCCCUCCCUCCCUCCCUGGUGGUCACUGGGCCCACCUGUGUUUUUCCCUCUUAGGCUGUUCCAGUUGUUUUGAGUCAGACAGAAAUUGGAGGUGUAAUUUCACCAUAUGGGGCUUGUUGAUGGAGCUGCUCAUCAGAGCCAGUGGGGCUCUUGUACAGUCCUUCUAAACCUUGUGGGCACAUUCUUGAGCUUGUUGAGUCUUUCAUACCAAUUUAAGCUGCAAAAAUGUUUCUGAACAAGGCAAAAAAGUAGAGAGGUAACCAACUACUGCACUCAGUAAGGAUUUUACAAGUAUUGCAGCUGCAGGAAUCAAAUGCAGCUGGAGUCAGGUGGGAAGGCAGGCAGUGCAGUCUUCACCUUUUAAACAUAAGCUGUUGCUUCUUUGUUGUUGUGCAGUAUCAGUGAGGCUGGUUGAGUUAGAAUACAAUCAUUUAGGCUGGAAAAAACCUGAGUUCAUCAAGCCAAGCAUUAACUCAGCACUGCUGAGUCCACCACUAACCCUUAUCUCCAAGUCCCACACCUACACGUCUUUUAAAUCCCUCCAAGGCUGGUGACUCCACCACUUCCCUGGGCAGCCUGUUCAAGGCUUGAUAACCUUUACGGUGAAGAAAUUUUUCCUAACAUCCCAUUUAAAACUUCCCUGGUGCCACUUGAGGCUGUUUCCUCUUGCCAUGUUGCUUAUUUCCUGGGAGAAGUGGCUGACCCCCAUCCUCCUUUCAGGCUGUUGGUUGCAGAGUGACAAGGUCCACCCUGAGCCUCCUUUUCCCCAGGCUAAACACCCUCAGCCAUUCCUUCGAUGUGUGCUUCAGACCCUUCCCCAGCUCUAAUGCUUUGCUUUGGAUGUGCUCCAGAGCCUCAGUGUCUUUCCUGUAGUGACAGGCCCAAAACUUAAUUAUUACUCCCUCCUUCCCAAUGCCCUUUGAAGGCUUUUAGAACUUCAUGUUGGUUUAUGGUGAUUCACCACUCAAAACUGCAUCAGUGUAGCUGAGACAGACUCCACAGAAGGGGAAGGACAGGUCAGAAUGGGAGCAGAAAGAAAAAAAACUUUGGAAACAAUUGAUAUGGAACUUGACAUCCUUUAUUCAUCACCUAUCUGGUAUCUGCUGGGAAUAUGUAUUAGGCAGAGCUUGCUAUAUGUGAAGGGAAUGGGAAAGCUGAGUACUUAAUCUCUACAGCAGUUAUUUAUUGUUUUCCCUGGCAGAGGCUGAUUUUUCUUUUCCCUGAAUGGUUUAUUUUAUAGGCAGUUACACUAUACAGAUUUCUUUGGUUGCUUUAUGUUUAUUUAUGCUAUAGAUGAAAGCACAAAACUCUAUUGCUGUUCUUGGGAAGUGACUGCAUUCUCUCCUGGGGUGUUACACACUCAAUCCAUGUCAAAAUAACUUGAAGCUGUUGCCCAGUACCUGGUAAUGAGAUUUUACAGUGCUGCAGUGCAAUGCACAAUUGAAAGCGUUGUCCUGGGCCUCCUGGUCAAAUGUGCCCAAAUGUGUCAUGGGACCAGGAAUUUCAGCAGCAGUGGCAGUAGCUGUGGGGCAGAGCAGGAGUGGGGCUGCACAGCCAGACCCACUGUUCCCAACAGCAGCAGCAGCUGAAGCAGAGUGUAAAAUCUCACCCCAGAGUGACUUAAUUUUCUGGCCAGAAUACCCCAGAAAGUUCUUGUGCAGUGCCACUGUCUGGCCUUCAGAGAUGCUGGUAUGGGUUAAGGGAACUGAACAGAGCCCCCAGUGUUAGUAUUGUAGGCAUUUUUUAAUGCAGCCUUGGAGUAAGUAGCCCUCCAAAACAGAGGUAAACCAGGAACAUUUUUGCCCCCACCACCUCAUGCCAUGGCUUCAGCUGUUCAGGAUCCCUGUAGUGGUAUUUUUCCAGGGAUUCAAGACACUGUACAGUGCCUGAGCUGGAUCUAUUUGUAUAACUUUCUCUUUUAAGCACCAAAUGAGAAUUUCCAUCGUUUCUCUUGAAGGGUGGAAACUAAUAGCUCUUGCCCAUGUGUUUAUAAAUUGAUGAAAAGCCACAGUCUAAGAACAUGCACCUGGAGCUGGUUUUGGUUCAGCUUCUUAGUUCAAAGAUUCUGCCCAUAAGCAAAGCUUGAGCAGCUGCUGCCUUGGUGAGCCUGGGAAACAGGAAAAGUCAGUCCAUUUUCAGUCCAGUCAAACCUUGGUGUGAGAGAGUACCUAAUUGUAGGUUUCUGUUUCUGGCCACAGAGUUUUGAGUUUUCUGUAUAUUUGAGACAAUUUUAUAAAGUUCAGUUGUAGUUUUCAGAAAUGGCUAUUUGCAAAUGUUAACUGACUGUACUUUCAUGUCCUAAGUCUUGCAUCUAAACCAGAAGUAUUUGUGUUCUAUGCAUCCAUAGCUAAUGGAAAAUAGAAUUGUGGAGUUUUCUUCAGUGUUGCAAUUGUUUCACUGUAGGUGGAUCUUUAGAAAUUAAAUUUGGCCUUAUAGUUAACAAAGCUCUGAAAAAGCCAAAAGCCAGGAAGAGGGUGUAUGUCAGCCCUAGUAGGAAGUUUCUGCAGGCAGACAGGUCAGCUUUGGUGUUUUCAGUUCUACAGUGACAGGACUCAACAAAUCUGUUGAUUUUUGUGAUCUUGUACUUCAAGUGAUAUUGCUGUAAAUCUCUCCUGCAGCUGUUGGUGUAACUUAGUCAAAGCCAAGCUGUUUAUAUACAAUUUCAUUUUUCUUCAGGGUCAAUUUUGUACUUUAAAAAACUAUUUCUGCAUUUCCUGAGUUAUCCUAAUGCUGCAGAGGACAGCAGGGAGAGCAGUGAGUACACCCUGCUCCUCCCCAACCAUGCUGUGCAAGGGGCUGGGCUGGAUCACCAGGGACGCUGCAGGAACCUGCAAGGCUGCUUACCCCAUGCUCUAGUCCCAGCAUGGCUUUAUCCAGGCACAGAAUGGGUUGGUGAGGGCAAGGAUGGAUGUGGAUGGGCUCAACUGUGACAUAUGCUGUUAGUUCUGAAUAAUUUGUAAGAGAGUUAUAAAUUUUGUAAACUUUUUAAUGUGCUAAACUUUGGUUAUGGAGGUAACAUUACAAAGAAGGGGUCAUUUGUGUACUUGUUUUUGUAUUUUGCUCUGGUGGGCUUUUUGUUGUUGUGCCCUAAGUCCAGAUCAUUGGGCAAAUAGUCGUUAAAUCUUGAAAUUAAAACAAAUAAAUGCAUUUUACUCAAUACUGGAUACUUUUGUUAUGAUUCUAAUUGUGCCAGUUCUAUCUUGCUUAGAACUUUUUCUGACUAGAGGCAAGUAAUAUUAGCUCUUUAUAAUCAGGUGAGAAGAUGGAGGCUUCUGUCUGAAACAGUGUGUACAGCCUGAUGUUGUCUACCUUGCAUACACCAGUUCCUGGGAGAACAAGAGGUGUAGAACUCAGGAAACUGGUACAAGGAUGCACCAUCCAUGCUUCUUCACUGCUCCUAGCCCAGCUUGGGUAAUGCUUUGUGGUGUCCAUUACACAACACUUCAGCAUAAGAUGGUAGAACAUGCACAGAAGUUUUCAGCUCACACCUUUGUUCAGAAAGCUGCUGUAGCAGCUACAGGACUGCACUCAGCCCCACACUACAGGACAGCAAAGUAGUUUUAGUGCACUUUGCAAAUGCUUCUGGCUGUAAUAAACAUAACUGCAGCCUAGUUAAAUGUAUUCUUGUGACUCAGUAAUUUCAGACAAGCAGGUUAUUGCCUUGUGUGUGGUUCUUGGAAAACACUGUUAUUGGAAAAAGAACAUACUGGAUGUGGCCACCCUGUAUUAUUACAUAUCCAUUGCAGAGGAUCCAGUCUUUCAUGUGGCUGGGGGAAAGAACCAACUCUCCAUCUUAAUUUCUCUGGAAGAGUAUAAAGACUGAUGAAACAGCUUAAGUAGAAAUCCAGUGUGAAUUGCUGUAUGGCAGCCUGAGCUGAACCAACAAGCAAUUUCCCACUGUAGGCACUGCUGAUUAUUGUCAGCAGCUCUCUGUAACUAAUUAGAAAUCAGCUUUUAUUGUUUAAUACCAACAAAUCUGUAAGAAUAAGCAAGUUUCUUCAUCUGAAACACCCUUAAUGAUACUUUCUUGGUUUGAUUUUUACAGUAUGGGAAUUGGAGAGCCGGCUAAAGCAGUGAGAAGAGUGGAAACUCAUUGUAGGAAGUGGUAACUAGCUCUGCCUUAUAAUGGCCUCAGGGUUUUACACAGUUGAGAGUAAUGAUACCAAAUGUGUGAGCCAGCUUCCAUCACUGGAUUAGUAUUUACCCAGGCAGGUUUCCCUUCAUGUUUGUAAAUCUUCUAAAUCAAAGCUUCAGAGCAAGUGAAGUAAGGGCUGCAUCAGACUUCAACAUCCAAAGGUGACAUAGAUUCUACUGCUCUGUUUUCAAAGACUUUGCAUCUACAGACAGCAGAGCUAUUAUUACAGCAUGAGGCAAGCAAAGCCCUUCUAAACUCAGAGCUGAAUUCCAGGGAGAUGGAAUGCUUUAUCUCAGGAAUUAUCCUACAGUGGAAAUAUGCUCCCUUUAACUCAGAAGAAAGUGUCUCUCAGUGCACCAAGAAUUUGGCUGAGGGACUGAAGUUCUCCAACUCAAUUUGGCAGCAGCUGUACUGUUGCUUUGACAGAGAUGCUUCAAUACACAUUGGCACAAUGUUCUGUUGAACAAUCUGGCAGUAAAGGGGUACUGGUGCUGUGUUGCUGACACCAGUGUAACUGGUUCUGCAAAGAAAUACUGCUUCAGAAGAUUGAGAUCACUUCUGCCUCUCACAGGAGAGAGCUCAGGCUUGGGCAGAACUCCAUGUGUAAAGUUAGACAUAAGAAGUACAAAAUAGAAUUGGAAAUUGAUGAGUAUUUAUACUGAUAAAAAUACUGAGAUAAAUAACUGAUGUAGCUGAUAUAAAAGGUGAUUUCACUGGGAGUGUUUAGUGAAAGCUGCAUGUACCUGUCCCCAGUUUGUUCCUAAAGCAGGCAAAACGGUAAGACAGGAAAAUGUUUCUAACACACCAUUAGUCUUUGACCUUCUGCCCAGGUACAAGUGCUUCAAUAAAAACAUUAACCCAAGCCACACAAGCAGAGAAACAUAUGAAGAAAUAGUGAUUAUUUUUCCUUAUUUUAUUGGGUAAAUGACUUGAAAGGUAAUAACAAUAGUGUUAAAACUACUACAAUAUCUUUCCACAGCCAUAUCUCACAGACUCACAGAUAACCUUCUAGCAUUUUUAUUUUUCCUCAUUUUUCUCUUUUUAAGCCUUAGUUAUAUGAAAAUGCCCAUUUCCACAGUUUCUUCACACUAAUAGCAAUUCAAUGUGGAAGGAAGAAGGAUCUAGUUAUAAAGGAAGGGGGUUCAGGUAAUCUGUGAUAUUACUGUAAUCAAUUGAGUUGCUAAGGAAGGAAGGAAAAUACCGAGGCCUUACAAGCUACUCCAGGUAGCUCUAAGCCCGCUGUGUCUCACCAUGGCAUUGAAGGUAACUCAAGAUGCUGGUGAACAAUUCGAAGUAAGUUUGAUUUUUUUUUUUGGUAACUUAUAAAACACUAAAAUAACUUAGAAACUAGAUCCAAAUAUCUUUAAAAGAAGAUAUUUUUUAUACAAAAACAGUCAUAAGUUUUUACAAAAGUUGCAAACAAAAGUUUGUUUUUUCAGUGCGUUUAUGUACCAGCGCAAUUACUGAGUCCAGAGCAAAGAAAGAGGUUUUUCUUUUUUAUUUUUUUUUUUCUUUAACAGUAAAAAAAAAUGAGGAAAACAUAUCUUUGUAUAUAAAGAAUCAUUGCUGGUCUUAGGAAUAAAUGUUACCAGAAACUCUUAAAUCUGAGAGGCACACUUUGGAUUUCUCUCUUUUUUUUUAACUUUUUCUUUUUUUUAACAUAAAAUGAAAGUCACCAGUUUAUUUAAAUGGAGGAGAUACUCAGACUCCCCAAAUAAACUUAAUUCAAUUAACAUCACUAGCAAAAAUCAGUUAGAAACUGUACAAAAAUAAAAAAGUUAACACAUAUAAUCCUGCAGGGAUUUUGUAAGGACUGGAAGGCAGGCUUUAGGAGCAGCAUUUGGGCAUGGCUGGAGGCUUCUUUGGUUCGAUCUAACACACAUAAGAGAUGUAACCUACUCCAGACAACAGUUUUAAAAACCCGCACAGUUGAAGACAAGUAAAGGUCCAUAUAUAAACUCCAGGUGUGCCAGGGCUGUGCCCACCUUGGUUCCAGAGUGGGGCUGAGGUCAGGACCGGAACAUCCACCCCUGCCAGAGCAGCAUCCGCUGGGAUGGCAGAAGGAAGGACACUUGAAGCAUCACCGAGUAACAGCUUUGUGUCAAGUCUAUGGUUUGGUUAUCUAACUCAGUUUACAGCACAGAGUUUUUAGGAACAUUAGGCAAGAGAAUGAAAAAAAAAUAACCCAACAAUCUCUUCAAUGGAAUAAGGCAAACUGAGUAGUGCUCAUAAAAAAAAUCAAAAAAAAAAUCAGCAUUUCAACUUCACAAACAGUGAAAUAAACUACUUGGUUGUACCUUAAUUUCUAUAAAGUACCCCAAAUGAAAAGCAAAUCUGUAGCUAGCCCCAACAGUACAGCUAAAAGCUAUUAAAUAUAACUACAAAGGAAUGACGUUUGUGAAAGCAACUGCUGAUCAGCUUUAAGCAAACAGACCUAUGCAGUGCCAUUGGAUGUCACAGGGAGCUGCAUGAUUGGUACAAAGAAUCCCACAAUUAUAGAGAAACAAUCUGCAGCAGUUCAACAGAGUAUGCUGAGGAGGUAGGUGCCCUAGAAACACUGUAGGUAGACUGAUUACUCCAAUGUUAAAAAAAAAAAUAAAAAAAAA